UGUUGCGGCAUUUAAGUGGAUUGGACUGAGAUGUAAAUUGUGCUCCAGCUUUUGGCACAAGUCCUGCUACUUCAAAUUGUAUGACAAACAGUCAUCAAUGGAUACAAGUUCAGAAGAAGAGCUGUCAGAUGAGGAAUACAUACCAGCGUCAGAGUCAGAGAGUCAGUCAGACAGUUCAGAAGAUCUGACAACAAGAACAAAAAGUCAGGAUCAAGCUAAUCACCCCUCACUAUUAAAGAAGGUUGUCCCCUCACAAUUUAGUUUACCUGUACCCCCCCUGGAUUCAUAUCAAGGCAAAGGAAAACAAAUCUCAAUGGCAAGGGAAGCUGAGUUUGACUUACUUUGUCAUGAAG